rnacentral:rRNA from 1 species
GACGAACCGUGCGAACGUUGUUCGGAAUCACUGGGCUUAAAGGGCGCGUAGGCGGGCCAUAAAGUCAGGGGUGAAAUCCUCCAGCUCAACUGGAGAACUGCCUUUGAUACUGAUGGUCUCGAGUAAGGUAGGGGCAUGCGGAACUGAUGGUGGAGCGGUGAAAUGUGUUGAUAUCAUCAGGAACUCCGGUGGCGAAGGCGGCAUGCUGGACCUUCACUGACGCUGAGGCGCGAAAGCUAGGGGAGCGAACGGG